AACUUCUUUUAGUCGAAAUAAACCGUUGAGCGAGUUAGACGCGUUUUCAGUGCGAGGCUCUGUCGGUCGGUGUUUUCUACGUUUCUUGUCGGUGAAAAAUAAGAAUAAAAGCAAAAACCUAAGUGCAGGAAUAUUGUGUAAAAUUGGAAAUUUGUGAAGUGCAAAUUGCAGUUUAAUUCAGAGAAGAAACGUUCUAACGACCGUGAAAUACGACAACAGAACGAGCGAGACGCUGGCAGCAACUGUGUUUUAUAGCCGUAACUGUAAAAACGCGGCUAAGCCGCUGACUUUCAAUCAUAAAUUAAAACGACGCUGAAUAUUCCAACUAAUUAAAAUUAAAGCUGAAGGCAGCUUUAA